GCCGCUGUGGUGGAAUAGGCAGACACAAGGGACUUAAAAUCCCUCGGAGUAAAAUCCGUACCGGUUCAAGUCCGGUCAGCGGCACCA
rnacentral:tRNA from 5 species